CACUUUCAAAAUGGCGGAGUGUGGAGCGAGCGGCAGCGGGAGCAGCGGGGACAGUCUGGACAAGAGCAUCACGCUGCCCCCCGACGAGAUCUUCCGCAACCUGGAGAACGCCAAGCGCUUCGCCAUCGACAUAGGCGGGUCGUUAACCAAGCUGGCCUACUAUUCAACGGUACAGCACAAAGUCGCCAAGGUGCGGUCUUUCGACCACUCCGGAAAGGUGAGCCUGCACUGUGGCCACCCGGGGCAGGGCAGCCGCUUCUCUGUCGUCUUGGACCUGGCACUUGUCUCGCAGUCAUCCCUCUGCUGCUGCAGACCUCGACUUCAGUGUCCUGGGAGUUUCUAGCAGGGACAGCCUCCCCUGCCUUCCGCCGUGUCCCUUCAAGACCCUUUGUAGGAACCUGCACCCGCCUGUGCUCCCCCCGGGGAGGCUUCCGCUCCUGCUGGGUGGCCCUGAGGUCGCCACGGUCCUGGGCUCCUCCCUCUUGCCCAGGAUUCUGCCUUAGAGCCCCGCCUGGUUGAAGGCUGGCGCGAACAGCCAGCUCCGCUAGGGCAGGGUGUGCACAGCCCA
rnacentral:sRNA from 1 species